CACACAACAUACACACCACACACACAACAUGCACCACACACAGACACCACAUACCCGGACACACAACAUACACAACACACAACACACACACAACAUGUACCACACACGGACACACAACACACACACAGACACACCACACAGACCACACAACACACAGACACACACCACACACACACACACAGACACACAACAUACGCAACACACACCACACAGACACAACACGUACCACACACACAGACACACCACACAACACACAGACACACACCACACACAGACACACACCACACACACAUGGACACACAACAUACACAACACACACCACACACAGACACAACACGCACCAUACACGGACACACAACACACCCAGACACACAACACAGAGCACACAGACACACACACCACACACAACACACCACACCACACACACACAACAGACACCACACACACCACACACGGACACACACCACACGGACACCACAUACCACACACAAUACCACUCAGACACACAUCACACACGGACACAUACCACACACACCCAGACACACACCACACAUCACACAACACGCACCACACGUGACAAACACACGUUGACACACAACACACAUCACACAUAUGGACACACACCACACACACAACAUACACCACACACAGACACACACCGAACACACCCCCCUUGCACACCCACCCCCAUGCCCUACUGGGUCUUUCUCCUCCCACCACAGCCUAGACCAGGCUUUGCAGCCACAGGCAAAACCCACAGGGCUCUGCCCGCCUGCCAUACCUCCCUGACAUCCCCAGCACCCCCGGCUGGUGGGGCAGGCACUCUGGCCUUGGGCUCUUACCCACAUACUUUUCCAGCCAGGCUGUUGUCCCCAGCAGGCCACCACCCCAUCCCCAGCAGCACCCAACACACACACGCAAUGGUUCAGGGCUGUUUCCCAGCAGCUGGGCUGUCAUUACAGUGUGUUGACCCCACCCCAGAGGCAAAAGCCAGGACAGAGUGAGGCAGCCCCGCUGAGGAUGGGCCUCGGGCCCUGCAGCUGGGGCACUUGUCUGUCCUGGCUGAGGCCAAAAGGCAGAAGCUGCUGAGAACAGAGUGGGGCCUCCUGUCUCAUAAUUUGAAGCAGGAGGACUUGGCCCCAAACCUAGGCCAGGACAACAGCUAGGAUGCUCCGACACCCACCCCCCGCACUCACGGGCGGCUCCUCCUCCCACUGGGAGCCGUCUCCAAGGCAGCACUCACUCUACCACGGAGAGCCCCUCGUCGUCCGACGGCGUCACCUCAUCCUCCGACUGGUCGCUCAGCAGGUCGCAGGGCAGCAGGGCCGAGCUGUCGGCCAGUUCCAGGACGGGCGCGAUGCUGGGCCGCCGGCUGCCCGAGCCGUUCUCCGUGGGCAGUGCCAGCUUGCUGCCCCCGCCCCCCCCGCCGCUCUGCGUGGGCCGGUGCUCUGUGCCCUGCAGGUCCAUGGCCACUGUCCCUGGAAGAGAGCCCUGUGCUUGGCCACAGCCCGACUCCCACCCUCCAUGGGCG
rnacentral:lncRNA from 1 species